GACGAACCGUGCGAACGUUGUUCGGAAUAACUGGGCAUAAAGGGCGCGUAGGCGGGCCCGAAAGUCAGGGGUGAAAUCCCACGGCUCAACCGUGGAAGCGCCUUUGAUACUGCGGGCCUGGAGGGAGGCAGGGGAGUGCGGAACUUCCGGUGGAGCGGUGAAAUGCGCAGAUAUCAGGAGGAACACCGGUGGCGAAGGCGGGUCUCUGGGCCGAUACUGACGCUGAGGAGCGAAAGCGUGGGGAGCGAACAGG
rnacentral:rRNA from 1 species